UCCGUAGGUGAACCUGCGGAGGGAUCAUUACAAGAACGCCCGGGCUUCGGCCUGGUUAUUCAUAACCCUUUGUUGUCCGACUCUGUUGCCUCCGGGGCGACCCUGCCUUCGGGCGGGGGCUCCGGGUGGACACUUCAAACUCUUGCGUAACUUUGCAGUCUGAGUAAACUUAAUUAAUAAAUUAAAACUUUUAACAACGGAUCUCUUGGUUCUGGCAUCGAUGAAGAACGCAGCGAAAUGCGAUAAGUAGUGUGAAUUGCAGAAUUCAGUGAAUCAUCGAAUCUUUGAACGCACAUUGCGCCCUUUGGUAUUCCAAAGGGCAUGCCUGUUCGAGCGUCAUUUGUACCCUCAAGCUUUGCUUGGUGUUGGGCGUCUUGUCUCUAGCUUUGCUGGAGACUCGCCUUAAAGUAAUUGGCAGCCGGCCUACUGGUUUCGGAGCGCAGCACAAGUCGCACUCUCUAUCAGCAAAGGUCUAGCAUCCAUUAAGCCUUUUUUUCAACUUUUGACCUCGGAUCAGGUAGGGAUACCCGCUGAACUUAAGCAUAUCAAUAAGCGGAGGA
rnacentral:rRNA from 1 species